rnacentral:ribozyme from 1 species
AGAGAGAGAGAGAGAGAGAGACAGAGGGAUGUUUGUGUGAGAAGAUGCAGAAGGAUGUUGUGUAUUGAUGUCUUCUGUGUUUGACUUUAUGUUGUUUGUUUUUGUUUUACUUCGUACUGUUCUACUUUCGCUUUGAGGGGACAGCCAUUGGUUUCUAAAAUAGACAUAGCGGAGACGUUCUGUGUUGGGUGGGAUAUCCCAAAGGAAAGGGCA